rnacentral:rRNA from 1 species
GACGAACGCUGGCGGCGUGCCUAAUACAUGCAAGUUGAGCGAUGAAGAUUGGUGCUUGCACCAAUUUGAAGAGCAGCGAGCGGGUGAGUAACGCGUGGGGAAUCUGCCUUUGAGCGGGGGACAACAUUUGGAAACGAAUGCUAAUACCGCAUAACAACUUUAAACAUAAGUUUUAAGUUUGAAAGAUGCAAUUGCAUCACUCAAAGAUGAUCCCGCGUUGUAUUAGCUAGUUGGUGAGGUAAAGGCUCACCAAGGCGAUGAUACAUAGCCGACCUGAGAGGGUGAUCGGCCACAUUGGGACUGAGACACGGCCCAAACUCCUACGGGAGGCAGCAGUAGGGAAACUUCGGCAAUGGACGAAAGUCUGGCCGAGCAACGCCGCGUGAGUGAAGAAGGUUUUCGGAUCGGAAAACUCUGUUGGUAGAGAAGAACGUUGGUGAGAGUGGAAAGCUCAUCAAGUGACGGUAACUACCCAGAAAGGGACGGCUAACUACGUG